rnacentral:rRNA from 1 species
GACGUAGGGCGCGAGCGUUGUUCCGGAUUUAUUGGGCGUAAAGAGCUCGUAGGCGGCUUGUCGCGUCGAAUGUGAAAUCCCGUGGCUCAACUGCGGGUCUGCAUUCGAUACGGGGCAGGCUAGAGUUCGGUAGGGGAGACUGGGAAUUCCUGGUGUAGCGGUGGAAUGCGCAGAUAUCAGGAGGAACACCCGGUGGCGAAGGCGGUUCUCUGGGCAU